rnacentral:rRNA from 1 species
GAUCUGGCUCAGGAUGAACGCUGGCGGCGUGCCUAAUACAUGCAAGUAGAACGCUGAAGGAAGGAGCUUGCUCUUUCCGGAUGAGUUGCGAACGGGUGAGUAACGCGUAGGUAACCUGCCUGGUAGCGGGGGAUAACUAUUGGAAACGAUAGCUAAUACCGCAUAACAGUAGAUGUUGCAUGACAUCUGCUUGAAAGGUGCAAUUGCACCACUACCAGAUGG